UGUACCUCUCCUCUUCUGUCUAUUCUCUUGUCCUGCUCCCUCUUCCUCUCCCCCUUUCUCUCUCUUGUUCGACUGCCCCCCUUCCUUUUUCUCUCUGCGUUCUUGUCCUGCUCCCUCUCCCUCUUCCCCCCCCCGCCGCCCCCCAUCUUUCUCCUGCAGCCAGUCGCUGUUUUUUCCUUUUCCAUCUCCUUGUCCUGAUCUGCAUCCACCUCUUUCCCCACCUCCCAAUUUCUCUGGCCUGUUCCCUGGCGUUCUUUUCCUCUCUGCGCCUGUACGUGCCGCUCUGUGUCCCUGCCUUCCUGUCUCUCUUCUUUCUACUUUCUCUUUCUCUCUCUAUCCCUUUGUCUUGCUCGCUGUUGCUGUUUAUUUUUGUCAUUCUGGAUCUCACUGUCCCCGUCCUCCUUCCUGUUCAUCUCUUACUCUCUCUGACCCUUUGUGCUGCUUCCUGCCCCUUUUUUAUUCACCCUCCCUCUCUCUGCAGGGCUCCUGAUACUUCUCUUUCUAAAUUUCCCAACCCCCUGUGCUUCUCAUGGUCUCUGUCUCUGUCUCUCUCUCUCUCUCGUUCUCAUUGUUCUUGUCUGUUGCUCUGUCUUGCUUCCUGUCCCGUCGUUUCUCGCUGUAUCCCUUUGUCCCGCUCCCUGCUCGUAUUUGUAUUCCUCUCUGUCCUGAGGACCGUCCCAGUUUUUUAUCUCCGUCCUGCCGCUGUCCUGAUUUGUCCUUCUCUGCCAUGUUCCCUGUCCCUCUUUCUGUCUCUUUUCCUCUGUCCCUGCUACUUAUUUCUCCAUCUCUGUCCAGACCCCUGUCCCUUCCCCCCUGCCCCGCCUUGCUGUCCCUCUGCCUUGCUUUCUUUCGCUACCUUUUCUGUCUGUCUCUCUCUGCCCCGUUCCCUCUCCCGUCCUUUCUAACUGUGUGCCCCUGUCCAGCUAGCUGUCUCUUCUUUCUUUUUUCUGUUCCUCAGUAUUUUUUUCUUUUUCUGUAUCUCUCUCCCACUGCCCAUCGCAGUUGGUUUUCUCCCCUCCGAUGCUGGCCUGCUCUUUGUCCCUUUUGUCUCUCUCUGUCCUUCUGUCGUGCUCCCUGUGUCUAUUUAAUCCCUUCACCUCUGUCCUGCAGCCCAUCGCUGUUUUUUUUUUCUCUUCCGUCCCUUUGUCCUGCUCCCUGUCCUUGUGUCUCUUUCCCUUGGUUCUGCCUCCCAUCCCUUUUUCCUUUCUUGCUCCAUCUCUCUGUCCUGCUCCCUAUCCCUCUCACGCUCUCUCUGUUUCUGUGUCCGUCUCCUUGCCUUUCCCCACGUUCUCUGUCUUGUUCCCUCUUUGGUUUUCUUGUUUUCCGGGUGGCUGGGCCCGGCUACCCGCGGGGGUGCUUCGGCUUGGGGGUUUGGGGUGGGGGCCUGGCCGUGCCGGCCAUGGCCGGGAAAUAAAGCCUGAAACGGCAAUCGUGAAGCGACGCCCUGCCUGUGCUGGGGCUGCCCCGCAGAGGCGUGGGGCCAGGCCCUCCGCAGGUCCUGAGCACUCCCCAAAACUGCGCGUGGGGCCCUGGGGGUGCAGGGCUGUGGGGUGGCUACGCUCGGCGUCGCCCGUGGGCGCUGCAGGGUCAGAAAUGGAGAACAAGUUUUCUGUUCCUGGGGCUUGACAACAGGCCCGCCUGGCUGAUUUUGGGGCUCGGAAACAGACCGAGCUGCUGCGCGGCUUUGGGCCCAGAAACAGAGGUCCGGCCCUGCGUUUUUGGGCCUUGAGAACAGGCUCGGCAGCCGGGUUUUUUGGCUCCCAAAUGGGCCCCGAGUCAGCCGGCGUGGGGGCCAAAAGCGGGAGCCGGCUUGGCUGGUUUGGCAGGCGGGUGGGAGGGUGUGGGGAGCUGCGGGGGGAAGCAGGGGGUGGGCAGGGUGCGUGGACCCUCCCCGGAGAUGGGGGUCUGGUUGUGUCGGACGCCGAAGUUCGGGAGGCCGGCACGCAGCAGGCUGAACUCAACAUCUGCGAUGGUCUGUGGGGGGGAAAGGCGCUUUUCAGACCCCACGUGCCCUCUUUGAGUGCAGCUCUUCUUUCUGCGCUGCUCAGAAUAGUUGUUCAGUAAUUAAUCGCCCAAACUAACGCAUAUUUAUACGGCGUGUAACUCUGAUGUUUAAUCCUAAUGCUCCGGUUUUGACAGCAGUUGAUAUACAAGCUUAUGGAAAGCCCAGGCCGUUGCACAUAGCUGGAGCUUGUAAGGAGAAGCAGCUGAAAUCAGCCGGAGCUUCAGUGCGGAUCUGGGGCUUCAGUGAGCCAGAACUGUAGCAAGCGGGAGCUGGAACGAGGCGGGGUGUCCGCUGUCUGGAGCAUGUGUUAGCCAGAGGCAAAAGUACCUGCGGCUGUAACGAGCAGGAGUCGCGAUGAGCUGGAGCGUCUUUUCGAUGGAGCGUCCGUCGGCCGGACCGCGCUCCCAGCACGGCCGAAGAGCGGCCGGGCGCAGGCAGGGCUGUCUGCAGCGAGCGGCUCCGAGCAGCAGGGAGGUGAGUUGUCCUUCUGCCAGCAGGGAGCCCGGCCUCUUCCCUCGGGGAUGCGAUCCACGCCACGCUCCUCUCUCUGCGUGGAGGGUCUCGCCUGGUCCGUUCCCGCGGGCAGAAGCGAGGUGGGGGUCCCCCGGCUCUCCUGGGGCAGCCCCCCCCUGCGAGGGGGCGCGGGCGAGGUGUCGUCGUCCCCUCGGUACCGGGCAAAGGGGAGAGAAACCGGCCGGUGGGAGCUCCUGGGGUGCAGAGCCCUUCCGGCAGAAUCCUCCCCUGUCUUUUCACCGUUGGCUGGGUGUGACAAGCAGGUUCAUUUCUUUGUCUCCUCUUUUCCCAGUGUCACCUUCCGCAUCACACGAAGAAAAUCCUGUGUGGUUAAUUCCGCUUGCUGCUCAGGUGGAUGUCAGCUGCCACCAUUUCACCGUGGUUGCCCUUUCUUCUGCCGUGAAAGUACAAGACAGAUGGAAAGAUUCCGUAGUGGUCUGCAAGUACAAGGUUUUCCCAGGAAGCAUCAGCAGCCUUGUAACUAGUGACAGUGAGUCCUGAGGUGGUUUUGCUUUAUUCACCAAACAAGCAAGAUGCAAAGCAGCAGCAGCAGCGCGAGGGCUGUAGCUGUUGCGGUGGAUCCGUAAGCGUAGAUUCUGAUUGCGUACGACCUCGUCCCGCAGCCUCCCAGGGUUAUCUCCCUGCAGCAGUGCUGUAAGGAAGGGAGGAGACAUUUUCCGACACUGGCAAGAAUGUUUACUUGUAUGCUAAGAAGGUGUUCAAAAUGGUAUCAAUUAGCCUAAACACUGAUUUUAAGCGUUCAAAUCGCUCUUAACUUUUAAAGGAGGUGGUGUAUUUCGAGCUGACCUGUUUACCUGGAAUCCUCCUUUAGAUCAGCGACUCUCCUUGUGCACCCCCAGCCUCCGCUGGCAGGGCGGUAUGAGAAGCUGGAAGGUUCUUGACUUAGUAUAAACACUGCUUAGCAACAACUAAA